rnacentral:rRNA from 1 species
AACGAACGCUGGCGGCAGGCUUAACACAUGCAAGUCGAGCGCCCCGCAAGGGGAGCGGCAGACGGGUGAGUAACGCGUGGGAAUCUACCCAUCUCUACGGAAUAACGCAUGGAAACGUGUGCUAAUACCGUAUACGUCCUUCGGGAGAAAGAUUUAUCGGAGAUGGAUGAGCCCGCGUUGGAUUAGCUAGUUGGUGGGGUAAAGGCCUACCAAGGCGACGAUCCAUAGCUGGUCUGAGAGGAUGAUCAACCACACUGGGACUGAGACGCGGCCCAGACUCCUACGGGAGGCAGCAGUGGGGAAUAUUGGACAAUGGGCGCAAGCCUGAUCCAGCCAUGCCGCGUGAGUGAUGAAGGCCCUAGGGUUGUAAAGCUCUUUCACCGGUGAAGAUAAUGACGGUAACCGGAGAAGAAGCCCCGGCUAACUUCGUGCCAGCAGCCGCCGUAAAAC